rnacentral:rRNA from 1 species
GAUGAACGCUGGCGGCGUGCUUAACACAUGCAAGUCGAACGGUGAAGCAGAGCUUGCUCUGUGGAUCAGUGGCGAACGGGUGAGUAACACGUGAGCAACCUGCCCCUGACUCUGGGAUAAGCGCUGGAAACGGCGUCUAAUACUGGAUAUGAGCUGCGACCGCAUGGUCAGCAGUUGGAAAGAUUUUUCGGUCUGGGAUGGGCUCACGGCCUAUCAGCUUGUUGGUGAGGUAAUGGCUCACUAAGGCGUCGACGGGUAGCCGGCCUGAGAGGGUGACCGGCCACACUGGGACUGAGACACGGCCCAGACUCCUACGGGAGGCAGCAGUGGGGAAUAUUGCACAAUGGGCGAAAGCCUGAUGCAGCAACGCCGCGUGAGGGAUGACGGCCUUCGGGUUGUAAACCUCUUUUAGCAGGGAAGAAGCGAAAGUGACGGUACCUGCAGAAAAAGCGCCGGCUAACUACGUG